rnacentral:snRNA from 1 species
GUGUUUGCCUCAGCAGCACAUGUACUUUUAAAAAGGGUAUAACAUGGAGAAGAUUAGGAGGGCCCCUGAACAAGAUGACAGGCAGGCAUAUGAAGUGUUCCACAGUGAA